UCUAAACAAAAUUCUGCAUAUAGUUCUUUUUUAUAUUUGUAUAAAUUUUUAUUGUUAUAUUAGUUAAUAGAUACCUAGUUAGGUAGAAAUAAGCGUAAGCCUAGAUAAGAAAGAAGCCAAAGAUGUGGCCCCGCGUGGUGAGGUGGGGCCUGGGUGUGGCGACGGCCACAGUGUGCGCUUUUUCUGCAUACAAAGCUUUCCAAGAAAUUAAAAGACUCUCUUCAGACUUGCCAGAAUUUUACCUUCGACAAGACUUAGAACGACGUCGCGAUACAAGACGGUUCGCUAAUUCACGCCAAGAAAGGGAGGAUACUUUUUUAGCCGAUGCAUCGACCGACGAAGACGAAGAUGCACAACGUGCAGGAACUACCAGAAGAGUUAUAUAUCAUCGAACAGCAAACAUAGAAGAUUCUCCCAACAUUCUAGAAGGAAUUUACCCACGUCCUGAAGUCGAUCGAUAUAGGCCAAGUAGAGCUGAACGUAGCCCUAUACUAACCGCAAUACUAGAGCAACAGCGGUCCUCUACAGUGCAAGAAGAAAACAACGACCAAGAAGCUAGUUUAAGCACCGAUAUUGAAACCCCAGCAAGAAACGAAGAUAAUGCUGAGAUGCCGAACACUGAAAAUCAACCGAGUUUAAGCACCGAUAUUGACAACCCAGCAAGAAACGAAGAUAACUUUGAGAUGCCGAUCACUGAAAAUCGACUGAGUUUAAGCACCGAAAUUGAAACCCCUGAAAGAAACGAAGAUUACUCUGAGAUGCCGAUCACUGAAAAUCGACUGAGUUUAAGCACCGAUAUUGAUAACCCAGCAAGAAACGAAGAUUACUCUGAGAUGCCGAUCACUGAAAAUCGACUGAGAUCCACAAAUAUGAAUGAAACGGAAGAAUCGGAGGAGCACAGUUCUGAGAUUAGUGAUACUAAUCUCAGAAACAGAAAAGCGAAAAACUAAAGGAGCGGGGUGGGCAGGGAGCAAAGGUUUCCAUGCGGAGACCUACCGUCCAAUGUAAGAAUGAAAGCUGCUCCCUGCCCACUGUAGAGACGAACGGACGGAAAAGAAAAAGACGUAAGACCAUCUGUUAUGAAAUUGCUGUCUCAUAAGAAGAUGUGGUACAUACAUAC
rnacentral:misc_RNA from 1 species